CGGGGCCGAGCGGGAGCUGCGGAGCGCGGCGCGGGCACGGCCGGAGCAGCGGGACUCGGCGCGGGCAGCGAUGCGGCUCCGCCGCCGCCCGGGCUCGCCGCCUUCGCCUCCCGCCGGGCGCCGGUGACCGUCACAGCGUCCCCGCCCCGGCGGAAUGAGCCCCGCCGCGCCGCCCCGCCAGCGCCGCGAUCCGGAGAAUUACUGAAGCUUGGAUUGCUCUCUUGAUACUAUAAACCUGCAAUAAGUGGCAAUGUCAAGGGUUCCCACCCCACCUCCUCCUGGAGAGAUGUCCAGUGGACCUGUGGCUGAAAGCUGGUGUUACACCCAGGUUAAAGUAGUAAAAUUUUCAUACAUGUGGACCAUUAAUAACUUCAGUUUUUGCCGUGAAGAAAUGGGUGAAGUUUUAAAGAGUUCUACAUUUUCGUCAGGGCCAAAUGACAAAAUGAAGUGGUGCCUGAGAGUGAAUCCAAAGGGAUUAGAUGAUGAAAGCAAAGACUACUUGUCAUUGUAUUUGCUUUUAGUCAGUUGUCCAAAAAGUGAAGUCAGAGCAAAAUUCAAAUUUUCCUUGCUGAAUGCUAAAAGAGAAGAAACAAAAGCAAUGGAAAGCCAAAGAGCAUAUCGAUUUGUGCAAGGCAAGGACUGGGGAUUUAAGAAAUUUAUCCGAAGAGAUUUUUUACUAGAUGAAGCUAAUGGUCUUCUACCAGAUGACAAGCUUACAUUAUUUUGUGAGGUAAGCGUGGUCCAAGACUCAGUAAAUAUAUCAGGACAGUCUAAUACAAACACUUUGAAGGUACCUGAAUGUCGACUAGCAGAAGAUUUAGGGAAUCUCUGGGAAACAACAAGAUUUACAGAUUGCAGUUUUUAUGUAGGAGGACAAGAAUUCAAAGCUCAUAAAUCUGUCCUUGCAGCACGAUCUCCAGUUUUUAAUGCAAUGUUUGAACAUGAAAUGGAGGAAAGCAAAAAGAAUCGUGUAGAAAUAAAUGAUGUAGACCCUGAAGUUUUUAAAGAAAUGAUGAGAUUCAUUUACACAGGAAAAGCACCAAACCUUGAAAAAAUGGCUGACAAUUUGUUGGCAGCUGCAGACAAAUAUGCACUGGAACGGCUGAAGGUGAUGUGUGAGGAAGCACUCUGUAGUAACCUCUCGGUAGAAAAUGUUGCUGACAUUCUUAUCCUCGCAGAUUUGCACAGCGCUGAACAGCUAAAAGCACAAGCAAUAGACUUUAUUAACAGGUGCAGUGUUCUUAGACAACUUGGGUGUAAAGAUGGGAAAAACUGGAAUAGCAAGUAAGUUUCCCUGCCCCACGAUGUUCUGUACAAACACUGCUAAGUAGACUGCAGAUCUUAAGAACUGUUGCUUCAUUUCCACACUACUGAGGCCUGUCACUGACUCCAAGCAACAGACAUAAUGGAAACUGCAGGCUGGAAGUCCAUGAUCCACUCCCACCCUCACUUAGUAGCCGAGGCCUUUCGCGCUCUGGCGUCUGCACAGUGUCCACAGUUUGGCAUUCCACGCAAACGGCUAAAACAGUCCUGAAAUCUUCCAUGGACUCUAGAGAGAUUGGACUGACUCCACUCCUCCUUGUCCAGAGGUGUUUUCACAAACCAUAACAAGAGUUUUUGUUAUCCUUGUCCACAGAACAGAAGCUGAAAAAGCCUAUUGUUUGCUUUUCAGAUGGAUAAUUUAUGGUUUAAUCCUCAGCUUUAAAUUAGACUGAUUACUCUAAUUCACUGAAAGGCCUUAAAUUAUCUUCAAUGACUCUCUAGUCCAUAUAGUCUAAUGUAUCUUGAUUUUUUUAUUAUUAUUUUUUAAUGUGCCUUGUCUUUUUGACUAGGCUCUGCAGGAUUGCACUAGCUCCAUAAUGCAGUAAAGUUGAUAACUGAAGAUUAAUUUUUGAAAGGGAUCUUCCAUUAUUUUCAGAAGAAAAAAGAAAAGGAUUAUAGUUUGGUCCUGUGCUAACUGGAAGGUUUUGGCUCUCAUUAAAAACACUUGAACCAGAGGCACAUCGUGUACCCUAGGCAAGUGCUAAAUAUAGGGAGAGCCUGUUUACCUUCAGCAAAUGCUCACAGGCUAUUUAUGGCAAUAUACUGCUUUGAACAUAAUUUAUUUUUCAUUGUGGGGGCAAAUAUGCAAUGGUUUGGCCCAAAAAUGUAUUUUCAUUACAGUUUGUAAUGCUUAUUGUGUGUGUGUGUCAAAGCUGUCCAAGCGGUGAAGAGAAACACAGAAUAAACCUUUGGCUUGUGUUUCUUUAUGGUCCAUUAUUAGUUUACAUUUAAUGCAGAACUGAACGAGAGGUAAAAGAGAUCAAUGUGAAAAGGAAUAGUGUUGUAUAUGGAAUAAAUAUAUCCCAGUGUAUGGCUGCAUAGAAAAGUCAAGGAUGCAUAGAAUGACCAAAUGCAAAUUGAGGAAAUGGGCCAAAUGGAUUUUGAAUAUGCACUUUUAAUGUGUAACUUUUGUAUGUUGUGUGGUACAUAUAUAUUUUGCUUUUGAUGAAUUAAUGAGGUACAGGUAAUUGUGGCUUAACUUUUUAGAUACAUUUUAAGAUGCCCACAGCCACAUGGGAUUUAGUUUUGUUAGAAAAGAAAGGCAUGUCUUUUUAAGACUCAAUUGAAGGUGGCUAUUGCGAGAUUUCAUAUUUAAGUAACAGAAUAUUUUCGCUUAUUUGAAAAAGGCAUGUGAAUGGUAAAAACUUUGAGGGGAUUUUUCCCAUCUUGGCGUACGUGCAUGGCUCCCACAAACAACCUGGGGAGGCUGUGCACACAUCCAGGAGUAGUUCCCUGAAAUGUCAGAUGGUAUCUGCAAGCAGAGACUUGCUCAGUCUUGCAUUUCAGUUAUUGUACUAGCAUUGUGGAUGGUAUUGAAAUUCUGCAUAAUGUGGAUGGUAUUGAAAUUCUGCAUAAUGUGAAAAGGAUGAAACAUUUGUAAACUGCUUGUCAUGGGCCAGUUCUUUACUAUAUGAACCUUAGCUUUAAUAUCAACAUCCUCAGUGUUUGAUAGCUUUGUUUACAAUUGGGAGGAAAAGUCUGCAGUAGUGCACACUCUAAAUGUUCCCUGAGUUAUUGCAUUGAGUUUACUGUAAUAGUGAUAAUAUGCUGUAUUUCUUUUUUUGGGGGGGAAGAUUUUGGUUUUACAGUGGGGAAUGGGAGGAGAUCUCACCUAAUUUAUAAACAUCUUUGAGUAAGGGUUUGAGUUUGCCUAUUAAAAAAAGUCAUGCAGGGAAGAGAGAGGAAGAAUUUCAGAUUGUUUCUCCAUCCUCAUUUCAUUGAGAUUCAUCUGACUUGCUCUGAAUAAAAUUUUUACAGGAAAGAAUAUAUAAUUUUAUAUGUUGACAUCUAGUAAACCACUUACAAAGGUAAAUUGGAAGAAAAUGCCCAGUCCAAUUUUGAAGA